CUACCUUUAAGCUAUAAUCUUCGUAUAGCGGAAGUUAUAAUUAUGCCUGAAUACUGACAUACAAGUGGAGAGGAAAUUGGCACCCGGGUGAUACACAUGGAUCAAUUUCUUUUUGUUAUAAUUUGCGUGGGUCAUUUGUUCUGAUCUGCCAGUUUUGUGCUUUAUUUAAAUGGAUUUUGUGGGUGAGCUGUACUUGGUGACCAGUGCUAGUGGUGUAUAUAUAUUCGAUUGCUUUUAAUUAUCUUUCACCGUUAAUGUGCUGUUAUCCAGAAGGAACAUUGAAUUCAGCAGUGAUUAUUGAACGUAGAAAUUAGGGUUAGGAAUUUGAUGUGUGAACUUUUGAGUACAUUUAAUUAUAGAAUGUGCCUGUGACUGCACAUAACCUCUUUUAGUGCACAUUGAGAGAGUUCUUCAUCAGAAGACAGCUGAUCCCUGUACACAUAUAAGGGGUGGGUUGGAGGAUGGAUAUUGUUUAUCUGAUUGACCUGGACGAAUCCUGGACUGGCUUUUGCCCGUGCUGGGACGAUUUUAUGUUUGUAAACCGAAGACUGUAGCAGACGAACCGGCGACCACCUCCCCGUCCACGGCGGAUCCUAAUAAUAAUAAAUAGAUAUAGUUAGAGCUAAACCGUGUGUUCUCUAUUGUACCCGCGACCAGUCCCCUUCCUUCCGC